rnacentral:rRNA from 1 species
UACGUAGGGUGCAAGCGUUGUCCGGAAUUAUUGGGCGUAAAGAGCUCGUAGGCGGCUUGUCGCGUCGGCUGUGAAAACCUGGGGCUCAACCCCGGGCCUGCAGCCGAUACGGGCAAGCUAGAAUUCGGUAGGGGAGACUGGAAUUCCUGGUGUAGCGGUGAAAUGCGCAGAUAUCAGGAGGAACACCGGUGGCGAAGGCGGCAUCCUGGACCGGUAUUGACGCUGAGGCGCGAAAGCCAGGGGAGCAAACGGG